rnacentral:rRNA from 1 species
UACGUAGGGUGCGAGCGUUGUCCGGAAUUAUUGGGCGUAAAGAGCUUGUAGGCGGUUUGUCGCGUCUGCCGUGAAAAUUCGAGGCUCAACCUCGAACUUGCGGUGGGUACGGGCAGACUAGAGUGUGGUAGGGGAGACUGGAAUUCCUGGUGUAGCGGUGGAAUGCGCAGAUAUCAGGAGGAACACCGAUGGCGAAGGCAGGUCUCUGGGCCACUACUGACGCUGAGAAGCGAAAGCAUGGGGAGCGAACAGG